rnacentral:rRNA from 1 species
UACGUAGGGAGCAAGCGUUGUUCGGAUUUACUGGGCGUAAAGCGCGCGUAGGCGGCCCCGCAAGUCGGCCGUGAAAUCUCCGGGCUCAACUCGGAGGGGUCGGGCGAGACUGCGAGGCUCGAGGUGGGCAGAGGGCAGUGGAAUUCCGGGUGUAGUGGUGGAAUGCGUAGAGAUCCGGAGGAACACCAGUGGCGAAGGCGGCUGCCUGGGCCUGGCCUGACGCUGAGGCGCGAAAGCGGUGGGGAGCAAUCCGG